rnacentral:rRNA from 1 species
UACGUAGGGUGCAGGCGUUAAUCGGAAUUACUGGGCGUAAAGCGUGCGUAGGCGGAUUGCUAAGUCAGGGGUGAAAUCCUGGAGCUCAACUCCAGAACUGCCUUUGAUACUGGCGACCUUGAGUCCGGGAGAGGUGAGUGGAACUGCGAGUGUAGAGGUGAAAUUCGUAGAUAUUCGCAAGAACACCAGUGGCGAAGGCGGCUCACUGGCCCGGUACUGACGCUGACGGUGCGAAAGCGUGGGAGCAACAG